rnacentral:rRNA from 1 species
UCGUCCUACGGGACGCAGCAGUCGGGAAUAUUGCGCAAUGGAGGAAACUCUGACGCAGUGACGCCGCGUGCAGGAAGAAGGUUUUCGGAUUGUAAACUGCUUUAGACAGGGAAGAAACAAGACAGUACCUGUAGAAUAAGCUCCGGCUAACUACGUGCCAGCAGCCGCGGUAAUACGGCGGAUGCGCGCGUUAUCCGGAUUUAUUGGCUUUAAAGGGUGCGUAGGCGGAUUUUUAAGUCAGCGG